GCUGGCGGCGUGCAUGCUAUACAUGCAAGUUCGUAGCCGUGACAGAUGGGAGCUUGCAUCCCUGUGAUGCAUGAUUAUCGGCGGACGGGCUGAGUAUGCUCGUGGGUAACCUGCCUGUAAGACUGGGAUAACUCCGGGAACCGGGUGCUAAUACCGGAUGGUUGUUUGAACCGCAUGGUUCAAACAUAAAAGGUGGCUUCGACCUACCACUUACAGAUGGACCCGCGGCGCAUUAGCUAGUUGGUGAGGUAACGGCUCACCAAGGCAACGAUGCGUAGCCGACCUGAGAGGGUGAUCGGCCACACUGGGACUGAAACACGGCCCAGACUCCUACGGGAGGCAGCAGUAGGGAAUCUUCCGCAAUGGACGAAAGUCUGACGGAGCAACGCCUCGUGAGUGAUGAAGGUUUUCGGAUCGUAAAACUCUGCAUGUCGUUAGGGAAAAACAAGUACCGUUCNAAUAGGGCGGCACCUUGACGGUACCUAACCAGCCACGGCUAACUACGUGCCAGCAGGCGCGGUAAUACGUAGGUGGUUNGCGUUGUCCGGAAUUAUUGGGCGUAAAGGGCUCCCAGGGGGUUUCUUAAGUCUGAUGUGAAAGCCCCCGGCUCAACCGGGGAGGGUCAUUGGAAACUGGGGAACUUGAGUGCACAACAGGCGUAGCUGGAAUUCCACGUGUAGCGGUGAAAUGCCUACAGAUGGAGGAACACCAGUGGCGAAGGCGAGAUGCUCGAUGCUCUCUCUGGUCUGUAACUGACGCUGAGGAGCGAAAGCGUG
rnacentral:rRNA from 1 species